AUAUAUCGAUAUCGGUUAUCAGUAUCAGUAACUGUAAGUGGUCUCAGAAAUUUCAGAAAUUAUAGUGUCACAGAUUAUCUUCAAAAAUGGGGAGGUGCUUGAUCUCAUCUUCUCUAACCCUCCUAAAAUCUCAUCAACUACCCACUUCAGCUCGAACAUCUGAUUACCCAACACUUCAUUCAAUUGGGUUCUUCUCUACUCUCAAAAAUUCAAAAUCCCUAAAAGCUGGGAAUGAGAUUUUUGGAAGGGCAGUAAGGUUGAACCCAAUUUCUUUAUCUUCAUCUUCAUUGUCAAGAGUAUGUUUCUGCACUAGGGCUGUUUCUUCUGAGACCCGAUAUUCCAAAGCGGGUGCUCAAUCAACUGGUUCAAUUCCCACCAAUCAACUUAUUGGGGUUGUUGAAAAAGCUGCUAAAACUGGUGCCCAGGUAGUAAUGGAUGCUGUUAACAAGCCUAGGAAAAUUUCUUACAAAGGACUCACUGACCUGGUGACUGAAACAGACAAAAUGAGUGAGAAUGCUAUUUUAGAAGUUGUGAGGGCAAACUUCAAUGACCACCUUAUUCUUGGUGAAGAGGGAGGAAUAAUAGGAGAUGCUUCUUCAGAUUACCUUUGGUGCAUUGAUCCACUUGACGGAACCACAAACUUUGCUCACGGUUAUCCUAGUUUUGCUGUUUCUGUGGGUGUUCUGUUCCGAGGGAAGCCAAUAGCUGCUGCUGUGGUUGAAUUUGUUGGCGGAGCUAUGUGUUGGAACACCCGCACAUUUACAGCAGUUGCUGGUGGGGGAGCAUUUUGUAAUGGACAACAGAUUCAAGUUAGUGCAACUGAUCUGGUGGAGCGAUCACUUCUUGUUACAGGCUUCGGCUAUGAACAUGAUGAUGCGUGGUUAACAAAUCUUGAUUUGUUCAAGGAAUUCACAGACAUUAGUCGGGGUGUGAGGAGGCUUGGUGCUGCAGCAGUUGAUAUGUGCCAUGUGGCUAUAGGUGCUGCUGACGCAUAUUGGGAAUAUCGUUUGAAACCAUGGGACAUGGCUGCUGGUGUUUUGGUAAUACAGUUUUCCGUCUCUAUGUUUUUGGUUUUGCUAGAUACAGUCUAGCAGAACAAUUUAGGCUUAACUUUUGCAAUGUCUUGCUUGAUUCUUUAAUGAGAUUACAAGAUUUUUGGUUGGAUUAGUUACAGGAAUAGGUACACAUAGAAAUGUAAUGUCAAGUGUCAAAUGUGUUACAUGUCAAUACAGCCAUAUGGGGAGGAUGAAGCAGAAAACUCGUGAUCCUGAUGGGUUUAUUUCAAUGUCAAUUCAAACUCAAAACAGCAGUCUAAGGGGCUUUCUUUACAGAUCCAAAUAUACCCUAGCUAGGCCUAGAGGCUGGACCGCUGGAGUUAAAAACUCAUCCUGUCACAUGUGCUGUUGCAGACAGGUUUCACCAACUUCGGCAGUAAAUUCAUUUUUGAAUAGCAUUUCCUACUUUCUUUUAUUUGUUGCUGAUAAUUGGAUUUCUAAAAGCUGACUUCAAGGGGUCUACAUUUCUAGAAAGUUUGUUUUCAAGCCUCCUACAGCGACACACUGGUUUAAUACUCAUUAGUCAGUACAACUUUUAGUCGAUCUCGUUUUUUUGUGGGAUACAAUUGGAGGUGUUUAUUCGGGUUAUCAGGUCGAUUAUGGGUCAAGUGUUUCGGGUCGGUUUAAAAUGGGUUAUUGUGCCCACAUUGAUUUUUAUAUAAAUUUAAAUUCAUUUUGAAGUCGGGUAAGUCAGGUUCGGUUACAAGGUUGGGUGGAUAUUGGAUCAUUGGGUCUGUUUUGAACACCUCAGAUACAAUAUACAUAUUACACGAUCCCUUGAUAAUGGGAUUUUGGAUUUCCAAAAAUUAACUCUAAGGGAUAUACUCUUCUAAAAGGUUUGUUCUCAAGCCUCAAGUCUAUUGACUACACACUAGUGUAAUACCCAUUAUUCAGUACAACUUUUGGCUUAACACCUCUAGUUGGAUACACUAUCCAUGAUGAUAAAAAAUUUCACUAUUUUGGAGCCUUUGUUUACGGGUUGGGGCUAGCUGUAUGGAUACAACCACCCCACCAAAAAAGUUUUUUUUUUUUUUUUUUCCUGUGAUUUUGCCAAUUUGUCUUGUUGCUAGUCUAAUGGCUGUGAAGUACUGUAUGGCUAUAUUUCUAUCUCACAUGAUGAUGGCAUUUUUGUCUUCAUAUUUGGUCUCCUCGAGGGUUGUAUUCAUUCCUAUGCUUUUUAGCUGUAUCCUUGGCUUGAGAUUAGCUAAUAAGAGCGGGAUUUGGGGUGGAUCUUAGCUGGAUCAGAUAGAGAAUUGUCUAGAGAACUAGUGGUAAGAUAUUUUAAGGGAGUAGUAAAAUUAUAGUUCCGAUUUAAGAAAAUGAUAUUUGUCUGUUUAAAUGUAAUUACAAGGGUAAGUUCACAUUCGACCAUUUCCUAAUCCCGCCUUAGCGAGAGCCACUUAGUGGCCUUGGGAAAACUUAUACAUAAGCAUUUUGUGUAUGUUUAUAUGAUCUUUGAUCAGAUUCGAGUGGCUACUGGCUGCUUUAUAUUUUAUUGGUACAAGGAAUUAUUGGAUACUGGCUGCUUCUGAAAUUUGAACUCUAUUUGAUUUCAUCUAAUCAUAGUUUUUUCCGCACAGAUUGUUGAAGAAGCUGGUGGAG